rnacentral:sRNA from 1 species
AAGAACUAAAUAAUAAAAUAUAUUCACAGAAUAAAAGAAUACA